CCUACGGGAGGCAGCAGUGAGGAAUAUUGGUCAAUGGACGAGAGUCUGAACCAGCCAAGUAGCGUGAAGGAUGACUGCCCUAUGGGUUGAAAACUUCUUUUAUAAAGGAAUAAAACGAGACACGAGUGUCUUUUUGCAUGUACUCUAUGAAUAAGGAUCGGCUAACUCCGUGACAGCAGCCGCGGUAAUACGGAGGAUCCGAUCGUUAUCCGGAUUGAUUGGGUUUAAAGGCAGCGUAGAUGGGUUGUUAAGUCAGUUGUGAAAGUUUGCGGCUCAACCGUAAAAUUGCAAUUGAGACUGGCAGUCUUGAGUACAGUUGAGGUAAGCGGAAUUCGUGGUGUAGCGGUGAAAUGCUUAGAUAUCACGAAGAACCCCGAUUGCGAAGGCAGCUUACUAAACUGUGACUGACAUUGAUGCUCGAAAGUGUGGGUAUCAAACAGGAUUAGAUACCCGGGUAGUC
rnacentral:rRNA from 1 species